rnacentral:lncRNA from 1 species
GCGACAUCUUAGAGCAUGUUCUUUGGAUCAUCGUGAGGCAGCUUCAGAGGCCCAGAGGUGAAGUCAACCUAGAUGAUACACUCCAGCACGGGCUGGCUCAUGUUACUUCCUCUUCCGGGAAACAGGAUGUCCGACCCCAGGAGCGUUGUGGUUCCUGCCCUGUGUAGGAAAUACACUGCCGCAGGUCGGGUCCUGGGAAGCGGGCUCUGAGAUGGAGGUUUGCCAGCACGAGGCAUACAGGGGCAUGAUGGCAGGAACACCCGGGAGGGAACAAGAUGCACCUGCUGGGAGCACAGAUUACGGGACCAACAACUGCGAGGGACAUCGCCGUGAGGGAGCAGGAGUGACUGGGAGACAUGCUGAACUGUGAGGGGGCUGAAGGGCGGCCUCAGCACUCUCACCCACACCUCCAAGGCUGUGACAGCCCUUCAGAGAUGUCCUGGGUGGAAGCAAGGGACAACAACAGCACCUACCUGAGAGGUUGCUGAGAUGUCUGUAGGCGCCAACCCUGUGCCUGGCACAUGGCUGCAGUCCAACAAGAGUUUGUCGAAAGUCCUUCCUUUACCCCUGGAGCUCAUCACUGGAUCACGGCCUCCUGAGCAGAAAAGGGCUGGGAGCUGAGCGAAAGAGAGAGCAUCUGUCCCCUGGCAACGCCCUUAACUUUGGCAAAGCACAGGUUACAUAUGACACAACCAAAGGGGCUCCGAUCCCAGAGACAAGGGGAUCAGUAGGGUCCUAGCAGGGAUCGUGGUUGGAGGGGGUGAGACAGAGGAGAAGCGGGGAGGAGAGGCAGCCCAGCCCCGUGUGGGGUAUGAAUUAGGGGUCAGAGGGAAGUGGCAGGGCUUGGAAGUCACUAGAGCGUACACCCAUGAGGACGAGGGCCGGUAUGUCCUUUCUCUGCGGUAUUCUCCUGUACCUAGCACAGGCUCUGGCACCACCGGCAAUGCUUAAAUAUUUACGGAACAAAUGCAGAAUAAAUGAGUGAGUGACAACCUUAUCAGUCAGAGCCUGGUUGUUUCAGGAAUUCCACUUAAAAACAAAGCAAAGGAGAACAGCUGCUGGCAGGAAACAAGGGUUCUGUGGCAAACAGAUGGGUCUGUCUGGACGCAGAGUCAGUGACUGGUCAGGCAGCACGGAACUAGAGUCCAGAAGCGUGGAGCAGGCAAAGGGAUUCUGGUCUGGGGACAGUGGAAGCCACUGAAGGUUCUGAGGAUGGCGUCCUGAGGUUAAGAGGUUAGAACCUGAACUCUGGAGUCAGGCUGCCCAGGCUCAAAGCCCAG